GAUGAAGAACGCAGCAAAAUGCGAUAAGUAAUGUGAAUUGCAGAAUUCAGUGAAUCAUCGAAUCUUUGAACGCACAUUGCGCCCGCCAGUAUUCUGGCGGGCAUGCCUGUUCGAGCGUCAUUUCAACCCUCAAGCACAGCUUGGUGUUGGGACUCGCGUUAAUUCGCGUUCCCCAAAUUGAUUGGCGGUCACGUCGAGCUUCCAUAGCGUAGUAGUAAAACCCUCGUUACUGGUAAUCGUCGCGGCCACGCCGUUAAACCCCAACUUCUGAAUGUUGACCUCGGAUCAGGUAGGAAUACCCGCUGAACUUAAGCAUACAAUAAGCGGAGGA
rnacentral:misc_RNA from 1 species